GACGAACCGUGCGAACGUUGUUCGGAUUCACUGGGCUUAAAGGGCGCGUAGGCGGGCGAUCCAGUCGGGGGUGAAAGCCCCCGGCUCAACUGGGGAGGGUCAUUCGAUACUGAUCGACUCGAAGGCAGGAGAGGGUAGUGGAAUUCCCGGUGUAGUGGUGAAAUGCGUAGAUAUCGGGAGGAACACCAGUGGCGAAGGCGACUACCUGGCCUGUUCUUGACGCUGAGGCGCGAAAGCUAGGGGAGCAAACGGG
rnacentral:rRNA from 1 species